rnacentral:rRNA from 1 species
UCCAGACUCCUACGGGAGGCAGCAGUGGGGAAUAUUGGGCAAUGGGCGCAAGCCUGACCCAGCAACGCCGCGUGAAGGAAGAAGGCCCUCGGGUUGUAAACUUCUUUUAUUCGGGACGAAACAAAUGACGGUACCGAAUGAAUAAGCCACGGCUAACUACGUGCCAGCAGCCGCGGUAAUACGUAGGUGGCAAGCGUUAUCCGGAUUUACUGGGUGUAAAGGGAGCGCAGGCGGGAAGCCAAGUCAGCUGUGAAAACUACGGGCUUAACUUGUAGACUGCAGUUGAAACUGGUUUUCUUGAGUGAAGUAGAGGUUGGCGGAAUUCCGAGUGUAGCGGUGAAAUGCGUAGAUAUUCGGAGGAACACCGGUGGCGAAGGCGGCCAACUGGGCUUUAACUGACGCUGAGGCUCGAAAGUGUGGGGAGCAAACAGGAUUAGAUACCCUCGUAAG